GAUGAACGCUGGCGGCGUGCCUAAUACAUGCAAGUCGAGCGAACAGACGAGGAGCUUGCUCCUCUGACGUUAGCGGCGGACGGGUGAGUAACACGUGGAUAACCUACCUAUAAGACUGGGAUAACUUCGGGAAACCGGAGCUAAUACCGGAUAAUAUAUUGAACCGCAUGGUUCAAUAGUGAAAGACGGUUUUGCUGUCACUUAUAGAUGGAUCCGCGCCGCAUUAGCUAGUUGGUAAGGUAACGGCUUACCAAGGCGACGAUGCGUAGCCGACCUGAGAGGGUGGUCCGGCCACACGGAAACGAGAACACGGUCCAGACCCCAAGGGGAGGCGGCAGUGGGAAAUCUUCCGCAUGGGGGGAAAGCCUGACGGAGCAAGGCCGGGGGGGGGUGGAGGGUCUUGGGAUCGAAAAACCUUGUAAUAGGGAAAAAACAAAUGGGAAGGUAACAAGGCACGUUUGACGGGUACUAAAUCAGAAGGCACGGCCAAAUUCGGG
rnacentral:rRNA from 1 species